UACAGGGGGUGCAAACGUUGCUCGGAAUCAUUGGGCGUAAAGCGCACGUAGGCGGUCCGUUAUGUCGGAUGUGAAAGCCCUCGGCUUAACUGAGGAAGUGCAUCCGAAACUGGCAGGCUAGAGUACCAAAGAGGGUCGCGGAAUUCCCGGUGUAGAGGUGAAAUUCGUAGAUAUCGGGAGGAACACCGGUGGCGAAGGCGGCGACCUGGGUGGAUACUGACGCUGAGGUGCGAAAGCGUGGGGAGCAAACAGG
rnacentral:rRNA from 1 species